rnacentral:lncRNA from 1 species
GAAUCCUCAUAUUUGUGAGAACCUUAUCCUCUCGAUAGGAUAUUCUGCAUAAGCCAUGUUUGAAUGGACUAGGGUCUACUUAUGCGAGAUGAUGUUAGAAAGACAUGGUGGUACGUCCUAAGCAUAGUGACAUGAAAAAAAUAAUGGUGGCAAGAGAAUUCAAGGGGUAAAGUGAUACAAUAAGCCAUAGGGCCUAAACAUUCCAAGAUCUCAAAAGGUAUGAUAAAAUGAGGACUCAACUUCCUUCUCUUCCUAUACCGCAUUU